GACGAACGCUGGCGGCGUGCUUAACACAUGCAAGUCGAACGGAAAGGCCCUGCUUUUGUGGGGUGCUCGAGUGGCGAACGGGUGAGUAACACGUGAGUAACCUGCCCUUGACUUUGGGAUAACUUCAGGAAACUGGGGCUAAUACCGGAUAGGAGCUCCUGCUGCAUGGUGGGGGUUGGAAAGUUUCGGCGGUUGGGGAUGGACUCGCGGCUUAUCAGCUUGUUGGUGGGGUAGUGGCUUACCAAGGCUUUGACGGGUAGCCGGCCUGAGAGGGUGACCGGCCACAUUGGGACUGAGGUACGGCCCAGACUCCUACGGGAGGCAGCAGUGGGGAAUAUUGCACAAUGGGCGGAAGCCUGAUGCAGCAACGCCGCGUGCGGGAUGACGGCCUUCGGGUUGUAAACCGCUUUCGCCUGUGACGAGGCGUGAGUGACGGUAAUGGGUAAAGAAGCACCGGCUAACUACGUG
rnacentral:rRNA from 1 species